rnacentral:lncRNA from 1 species
GUGGCACGUACUUUCGGUGGCUACCAACAGGUUGACAUAUUAGGUAUCAGAGACAUGGGAUCCGAAGAGACUUUCCACCUCUUUCCGAUGCCACCAUUGGCUCUCCACAAGAUGCCUGCACAAGCCUCCUGUGCCGUGUCAUCUCCCCAGCGGCCCUGGACCCAGGUGAAAUCCUCUUUUCUAGACUGCUAUGGGCUGGAUUGUGUUCCCAGAAAAUUUAUGUUGAAGCUCUAACUCCCAACAUCUCAGAAUCUGACUGUAUUUGGAGAGAGAGCCCUCAAAGAGGUGACUAAGUUAAAAUGAGGCCAUUAGGGAGGGCCCAAAUUCCAUCUGACUGAUGUCCUUAUAAGAAGAGGAAAUUUGGACCCACGAAGAAAUUUGCCAGCAACUGUGCUCCCACCCAAAGGAAAUGCCACGUGAGAACACAGCGAGAAGGCAGCCAUCUGCAGGCCAAGGAGAGAGGCCUCAGGAGAACCCCAACCAGCCAAGACCUUGAUUUUGGACUCCUAUCCUCCACACCCAGUCUGUGGUCUUUUGUUAUGGCACCCUAGCGGACUAAUAUGUAGACUUACACCUUUAUUGAAAUAGAAGCUAAUUGUUCAAAAUAUUUUUCCCUCUUUCUUUUUAUUGCCUAUUUCGCUCACCGUAUCUUCUCUUUUUCUCUCAUCAGCCUUGUUAGAGGGUGUUCCGUCUUCUUAAGGGUAAACCAGACCUCCUGGUUCAGAUCUGGCUCUGCCAUUAACUAGUUGUAUAGCCUUUGGCAAGCUACUCAGCUCCGCUUAGCUUCAUUUUCCUCUUUUGUAAAAUAGAGAUGCUUAUGACACCCUCAUCUUAGGGCUGCUAGGGGGAAUUAGAGGAGUUCACACGGAUAAAUCACUUAAAACAGUGCUAGUAAGUACUAAAUAUUAGCUCUUUUUCUUAAUAUCAUUAUGGUUAUUAUUCAAAGCAUCAUCUUUGGGUAUGUUAACUUUAUUGUUUUUAUGUUUUAUUUUAUCGCAACUUUGUCUUAUAUUAUUUCUUCUUUUUUGUGGGUUGUGGUGUUUUUUUAGCUUACUCUGCCCUUUUUCUAGUUUCUUAAGUUAAAAUCUUUGCUAAUUUAUUUUUCAGUAUUGCUUUUUUCUGUUCAGGAAAUCUACUCAUACCUAUAAAUUCCCUCUGCUUUAGCUACUUCCAGCAAAUUUUGAUAAAAAUAUUUUCAUCAUCAUUCACCUGUAGGUAUUUUGUAAUUUCAUAUUUAAUUAUCAUUUACUGCAAGGCUUGCUUGGCGCUCAAUAGUCUUCAUUUGCUUGUUCCCAGAGCUUUAGUCUUUCAUCCUCCUUCCAUUUUACUAUUUUAGCCUUCUUGCUGUUCUUCCUUGGCUCAUCUGUCUCCGUCCAGCUCCCUGUUCGUCCAGCCCACUCCUGCUCCUCAUUCACAGACACCAGGAACUAUUUUAUUUUUUCUUCUUGAAAAAGGCAAGACCUAUUCAAGCUCCAAGUUUUCAAUAGGUAGGCUGGGUGAAUUUUCCCUCGGUCCUGCUCGUUAUUCCUUGCUAUGGUGGUUGACUGCUUUUCUCAAAUCUGCCACUGAAGGCAGAUUCACUGGCUCAGUUCUCAUUCUGAAACCGAGAUUCUAGUCACCUUGUCUCAGGCCUGCCUCUACUUUUACAUGGUUAUCGUGUUCCUUCCACUCAACUGAGAUCUUUUUUUAGUGAUCUGAACUGACUUAAGUACCCAUUAAGACCAGGCUUCAUCCUGCCAACUUACAGCUUCAGGACUGUAUUCCUGGUUUACCUGCUUAGAAUGCGAUGAAUGCUGCUGGUUUCUCUUCUACUUUCUUCCCAGUUGUUUUAGAGGAUUUGCGGUUUAGUAUCUACCUGCCAUUAAGAAGACGAUAGCUGAGUUUGACAGUGGACAUAGGGAAAAUCAGGAAAUAUGAACUCUGCUUCACAAAGCACUGUUAAAAAGCCUUAGAGGGCUCCCUCUAAACCCAUUUUCUAGUCGUCUAAGUGAGUGAGGAGGUAAGCACUAUUGCCUUACUUUUGUCAGGUGAAUGUUUCUGGAAGUGAAGCAGGUGGAUGCCAGAUGUUGCUUUGAAAACUGCUUAUGAUGUUCCUAUGUCUAUCACCUCGUCACAUAUAACCUUGGGGACAACUUUGUUGACCUCUCUGUGCCUCAGUCUCCUCAUCUAUAUAAAGGGGAUACUUACCUCACUGGGUUCUCAUGAGCCCUAAAAGGAAUAAUCCACACAAAAGACUUAGAACUACGCCUGGCCAUAAUAAAUACUUCAUGAAAGGUAGCCA